GACAGCAGCCGCCGCGGGAACACGUAGGUGGCAAGCGUUGUUCGGAAUUAUUGGGCGUAAAGGGCUCGCAGGCGGUUUCUUAAGUCUGAUGUGAAAGCCCCCGGCUCAACCGGGGAGGGUCAUUGGAAACUGGGAAACUUGAGUGCAGAAGAGGAGAGUGGAAUUCCACGUGUAGCGGUGAAAUGCGUAGAGAUGUGGAGGAACACCAGUGGCGAAGGCGACUCUCUGGUCUGUAACUGACGCUGAGGAGCGAAAGCGUGGGGAGCGAACAGGAUUAGAUACCCCUGUAGUCCCUGUCUCUUAUAC
rnacentral:rRNA from 1 species